rfam:Pseudopedobacter saltans DSM 12145 chromosome, complete genome.
AAACAAGUGGAAUGAUUUGAGUGCUUUAUCUAAAAGCCAGGAUUGCAACCACAUAAAAAAGUGCUAAAGCCAAACAU